GAUGAUGAGUCUAUCCAUCCUGAACACACUCGUUCUAUUUUGAUCCUGGUAAUUCAGCAGGAUUGGUCCUCGUUAUUAUUUGGAUGGGAGAAAAGAAUGAUGAAAAAUCAAGAACUGCCAUUC
rnacentral:rRNA from 1 species